AUGCAAGUCGAGGGAGAACCAUUCGAUCCGUAAGGACUGGAUGGGGAAACCGGCGAACGGGUGCGUAACACGUGAGGAACCUGCCCCGAAGACCGGGAUAGCCCGAGGAAACUCGGAUUAAUACCGGAUACCCUCUUUGGACCACAUGGUCCGCUGAGGAAAUGGUCCGCCGCUUCGGGAUGGCCUCGCGGCCUAUCAGCUUGUUGGUGAGGUAACGGCUCACCAAGGCAAAGACGGGUACCUGGACUGAGAGGACGAUCACUGGCACUGGGACUGAGACACGACCCAUACUCCUGCGGGAGGCAGGAACUAGGAAUAUUGGGCAAUGGGCGAAAGGCUGAUGCACCGACUCCGCGUGGAGGAUGAAGGCCCUCGGGUUGUAAACCGCUUUCGAGAAGGACGAAAAUGACUGCACCUCAAGAACAAGGCCCGGCCAACUACGUGCCAGCAGCCGCGGUAAUACGUAGGGGCCAAACCUUGUCCGGAUUUAUUGAGCGGAUAGGGCUCGGAUGCGGUUCACCAUGUCGAUCGUCAAGGCCCGGGGCUCAGCCCCCGGACGCCAGUCGUAACUGUUGUGACUCGGGUCCGGUAAAUGUGAUUGGCAUUCUCGGUGUAGAGU
rnacentral:rRNA from 1 species